rnacentral:rRNA from 1 species
GAUGAACGCUGGCAGCAUGCUUAACACAUGCAAGUCCACUUGAACUUCGGUUUGGGUGGCGGACGGGUGAGUAACGCGUAAAGAACUUGCCUCACAGCUAGGGACAACAUUUGGAAACGAAUGCUAAUACCUGAUAUUAUGAUUAUAUGGCAUCGUAUAAUUAUGAAAGCUAUAUGCGCUGUGAGAGAGCUUUGCGUCCCAUUAGCUAGUUGGAGAGGUAACAGCUCACCAAGGCGAUGAUGGGUAGCCGGCCUGAGAGGGUGAUCGGCCACAAGGGGACUGAGACACGGCCCUUACUCCUACGGGAGGCAGCAGUGGGGAAUAUUGGACAAUGGACCGAGAGUCUGAUCCAGCAAUUCUGUGUGCACGAUGAAGUUUUUCGGAAUGUAAAGUGCUUUCAGUUGGGAAGAAAAAAAUGACGGUACCAACAGAAGAAGUGACGGCUAAAUACGUG